rnacentral:rRNA from 1 species
ACGGCUCAGUAACACGUAGCUAACCUGCCCUUAAGUCAAGAAUAACCUCGGGAAACUGAGGAUAAUGCUUGAUAAGAGAUUUACCCUGGAAAGAUUUAUCUCCCAAACUCGAGCUUAAGGAUGGGGCUGCGGCGGAUUAGGUAGUUGGCGGGGUAAUAGCCCACCAAGCCUGUGAUCCGUAAGGGCUCUUAGCGGAGAGGCCCUGAGAGGGAAUCUGAGACACUAUUCCCAGCCCUACGGGGUGCAGCAGGUAGGAAUCUUUUGCAAUGCGCGCAAGCGUGACAAAGCGAGCCAGAGUGCUUUUCAAUUGAAAAGCUUUUGCCAAAUCUAAAAAUUUUGGCGAAUAAGGACUGGGUAAGACUAGUGCCAGCCGCCGCGGUAAUACUAGCGGUCCAAGUCGCAGCCAUCAUUAUUGGGUCUAAAACAUCCGUAGCUUGUUUAAUAAGUUCCCUGUGAAAUCUUGUCUCUUAAGGGCAAGGCGUGCAAGGAAUACUGUUAAGCUAGAGACUGGAGGACGUAAGAAGUAUGUUUAAAGUAGCGGUAAAAUGUGUUAAUCUUAAGCAGACUCACAACAGCGAAGGCAUCUUACGAUGACAGUUCUGACAGUAAAGGAUGAAGGCUAGGGGCGCGAAGUGGAUUAGAUACCCAUGUAGUCCUAGCAGUAAACACUGCGCACUAAACAUUAGUACCUCUUCGGGAGGUAUUGGUGCUGAAGGGAAGCCGAAGAGUGCGCUACCUGGGAAGUAUAGCCGCAAGGCCGAAACUUAAAGGAAUUGGCGGGGGAGCAC